rfam:Candidatus Desantisbacteria bacterium CG1_02_38_46 cg1_0.2_scaffold_7988_c, whole genome shotgun sequence.
UGCCCGAUAGUGUAAUGGUAACACACCUGCCUCUGGAGCAGGUAAUUCCAGGUUCGAGUCCUGGUCGGGCAG